CUAUUUACAAUAAAAAAGAAGGAAAGUGAGAAUCCACCGAAUGAGUCAAAAUUUUCACACUCAAUAAACGCCUGAGCAACCCAGCCAAAUUGCUUGCAAUCGAAGGUAACCCUCUGUUUCUUCACUUUCAAUCAACUAAUACUUAUCUUCUUCCUUCCCCCCUCUCUCUCUCUCUCUCUCUCUCACUCAUACCCACAAAACCCUAACCCACUUCUCCAUUUCUUCUCUUUCUCUCACCUCUCUAAUGGGUCGGGAAACUUCUAUGCCGCCACAAACACCGGCACCCGCUGCUGCGGUAGCACCUGCAGGGACGAUGAAAACGACGGCUUUGGCACCUGGGUUUCGAUUUCACCCUACGGAUGAGGAGCUUGUCAGUUACUACUU
rnacentral:misc_RNA from 1 species